CUCUCUCUUUUUCUCUUCUGCUGCCACGUGAAGACAUGUUUGCUUCUCCUUCAUCUUCUGCCAUGAUUGAAGAAUACCAACAUUUGUGCAUACUCAAGUCCUGCAAGUCCUGCGGUGUGCCCUGUGGAACUCAAGGACACGAAAAGUCAGCACUCCAUGUAUGGAGGUUUUGUAUCCCACUAAUGCCGUAUUUUCCAUUUGCUUUGAGUUGUGGAUGUGGAACCUGCUGAUAAAGAUGGCUGACUGCAUUUAUUGAAAAAAAAUCCACAUAUAAGCAGACGUGUGAGUUUCAAACCCAUGUUGUCAAAGUCGUUCCUCUUCAAUUCUACCUGAAGACACUGUUUCCAGAUUAGUCUUGAAUAAAUCAUCAUGCCAUCCUACUCCUUAGGCAAAGUAAUGAAGAACUAAAAGCCAAGAAAUCUUGGCUUGAGUUCGGGUCCUGCCACCUAAAAAUCUGAUCUUGGACAAAAUAUAUCUUUUCUGAGUAUAUUUUUCUGAGUUUCUCAUAAUAUCUAUCUCUCUCUCUCUCUCUCUCUACCCACCCCCCAACCCCAAACCCCCAGCCCCUGCUGACAACAAUCACUUCCAUAAUACAUGGUUCUUAUGACAAUCACAUGUAGUGAAUAAUUUGAGAAAAUAUUAAACACUUUGAAUUACAAAACAGAAAAUAGUAAAAUACUUGGGGGCUAUCAACUCAACAGUCUAAACUUAAAAUCAGUAGUCAGCCUGUCUAAUUGUAAUUGUGACCAUAUAUAGAUUCUGAUAUAUAGUUUUCUUUUUUUAAUAUACAACCCAUGAAAAUAAAAUUAAUUUUGUGAACUUUUACAUAAAAUGUUAUUAGUUAGUUCAAGGUCGCUUUCCUUAGACUGUUUAUCCAUGACACUCACCAUGCUUUAACAGUUUUAUCUGUAGAACACUUUAGCCAUUAUUUCAGUAUUCUUAUUUUUCUUGUUUUUUUCUUCUCCUCCCAAAUAUACACAUGUGCCUAUGCACACACACAUAUACACUCACGUUCAAAGCCACUGUGCAAACCAUAGAACAUUUUAUUGAAUACAUAAUGAAGCAAUCAAAUAAUUUCAAGGGCAAUGGUAAGAACUACUUCCAAAUAUUUUAUUUAAAAGAGAAUUUGUGGCUGUUAUAUAACUUAAUGAUAUUUAAACAAUCCUGAGAAUUUGGAAGGUAAAAAUGAUUGCACUCUCUUAACAUGCUACAAAUCAGAGUAGUAUUCUCCAAUGAAAUAAAGAUGCUUCUAAUGCCAUGUUACCAAUGGGUUUCCUCUCUUUUUACUCUUUCUUGAAGAACUCAAGCCACACUGAUAUAUCUACAAUCAGAAAGCUCUUGAAAUGCACAUGUUAGAUGGUUGGCUAUUGUGUGAAUCAAGGACAUCUACACACUUACUUAUUCUCCACCCCACUAAACAUAGGACAAAUCUGUUAAGUAAAAUAUGAAGCCAAAAUUAGCAUCUCCUGGCCAGGCAUGGUGGCUCACGCCUGUAAUUCCAGCACUUUGGGAGGCCGAGGAAGGUGGAUCACUCGAGGUCAGGAGUUCAAGAUCAGCCUGGCCAACAUGGUGAAACCCUAUCUCUACUAAAAAAUACAACAAUUAGUCAGCUGCAGCGGCACACGCCUGUAGUCCCAGCUACUCGGGAGGCUGAGGCAGGGGAAUCACUUUAACUCAGGAGGCAGAGGUUGCAGUGAGCCAAGACUGCACCACUGCACUCCAGCCUGGGCAACAGGGCAAGAAACUGUCUCAAAAAAAUAAAAAGUAGUAUCCCUAGAGUUUUAUCUCAAAAUGAUUUAGAAUAGUUAAGAUAGUUUCAUGUUAAUUGAUUUAAAACUUUUCGUGCUUUCUCAAAUAAGAUUGUAUUUUAGAAGGUAAACUAAUGUUAUGAAAUAUGCAAUGCAUAAAAAGUCUAAACAAGUGUGUGCAUGAAUUUAUGUAUAUUCAGUUAUAGCUUAUGAUGUUAAUAUAAUAAACACCUGAGCUAUCAAAACACAGGUUAAAAUACAGAACUUUAUAGUUCCUCAGAAGCUGUCUGCAUGUAUGCCAUUGUUCUCCUCCUGAAGACAUAAUCAUGAUCCAAUAUUUUGUAUUAAACAUACCUUUGCUGGAACUUAUAAUUAUACAACUUAAUUAUGCAUCUCGUAAAAAGAUAUUGCUUGUGCCAGUGGCUUUUAAAAUUUGUAUAAGUAGACUCAUACUGUACUGAACUCAUGCUGUAUUAUCCUGUGACUUACCUUUGAAAAAACUGAAAUAUAUAAUAAAUCUGAUAAACAGA